CUGGCCGAAUGGGUUGCGCUGGGGCAAGCAGUGGAAGGAGAAAGAGGAGGACGCUGCAUAAUGUGUUAGAGGUUAUUUUCUUUUCGGGGUCCCCUCUUUUCCGUCCACUCGUUUGUCAUUGAUC
ensembl:ncRNA F53B3.10 ncRNA